rnacentral:lncRNA from 1 species
GACUAUUUGCACGCUUAGAUUGAGAAAAGGCCAAGGAAGUUAUGGUGGUUGGAGUGAAGAGGAGUCGGCCGUGGUGAAGAUGUAGCACUCCGCCAACUCAAGCUACUUUGGAAGGUCAUAUCUUGGAAUUCACUCAAGAUUUUCAAGAAAAAAUUAUUGGAGGUGAUGCGGCUUCAAUUCUAGUUUCUGGAAUGCUAAAGCAUAUGCGUUGCACAACUGGAAUGGAGCAAGGGCAAGGGUUUUUGUGGCCAGGGGUACUCUGACUAGGCCGAGAAAGUCAGGCAACUUUGAGGCAAGAUUUCUUUUAGCUUAAUUGUUGUUUUGCAUUGAAUUUUGUUGGAGGACAAGCGCUUGUAAGUCUACUUUCUAAAAUAGUAAAGCUUGUUAUAAACAAGUUAGUGAUGCAACCAUUGUAGUGGAAUUCGUGCAAGGGGGUCGAUACCAUGACUGGAAGGAGGCGACUUCCAAUUUUCUUUAAUUUUUAGGAUGAAUCUUGGAUAAAUUAGGUCAAUUGCACGAAUUGUCAGUUGGAUGAUAAGUUGACUUAUGGUUGGAUGAAUGAAUCUUUAGGUGAAAAUUGGAUGAACAAACUUUGGAUGAAUGAAUGUUAUGGGAUGAAUGAGAAUUAAGGGAUGGAUGAUUGAUGAAUGGAAAUUUAGGAUGAAUGAACUUAGGGUUUAUGGAUGAACUUAGGAUUUAUGGAUGAACUUAGGAUUUAUGAAUAAACUUAGGGUUUAUAAAAAUUAUGUGUGAGUGAAGUUAAUCCACUUGACUACUAAACGCAAUUAAGGGUGGAGGAAUUUAGCUCACAUAAAUGGUGCGUUAGCCGGGAGCCCAUCUUAGAGACGUUGUCUAACCACAUUUUUUUUUUUUUUUUUUUUUUUUUUUUUUUUGAGUGAGAUGAUUGAUUACAUGGAGGAAAGAGAUAAUAGGAGCAAGAUGAUGGGGUCGUGAUUGGA